rnacentral:lncRNA from 1 species
AGUUUAAGGGCUGAUUCAAAAAAUAAAUUUUCACACUGUGAAAUACACAAGAUGAAGAGAACAUUUAUAAAAUAUCCAUACUGUGCAUCUCUGAAUAAUCUUUUUUUCACAUCAGCGGCAGUACAAAGUAGGUGGAGUUUUAAAAGAGCAGUGAGAGGAUAUUAUGUUGCAGAAUUUGGUCAGAAUAUGAAGUUUGGAAGACCCUAUAUUCCUGCAGAUCCUUGGAUU